CUAUAACUUCUAUACCGUGAGGCC
rnacentral:siRNA from 1 species